GCUCACUAUUCUUAAAGAAAAGGGAACAAGGACCCCAAAGGUGCACAGCUGGAGAGGAAUUUGGCCUCAGGAUGAAUUGUAUCUCCAGUCACACCCAUACCUGAUUGACAUGAUAUUUAGCUGAUAGAGACUUUGGGGUUUAUAGGUGACGUUAGGAUGAGUUAAAAAUUAGGGGGUUGUUGGGACGGAAAGAAUGUAUUUUGCAUAUAAUAAGGGCAAGAAUUUGGGGGGGGGGGGCAGGGGUGGAAUGUCAUGGCCUGAACUGUGUUCUCCUCAAAUUCAUGUUGAAGCCCUAACCCUCAGCGUAGCCAAAUGUGGAGAUGGGCCUUUAGGUGGUAAUUGAGGUUAAAGGAGUUCAUAAGGGUGGGGUCUUCAUCUGAUAGGAUUAGUGUCCUUAUAAGAAGAAAUACCAGAGUGCUCUCUCCUUCUGUUUCGUCCUCCCCUUCCCCACUUCUUCCCCUCCUUCUCCCCAUGCUCAAAGGAAAGGCCAUGUAAGGCCAAAGCUACCAUCUGCAAGCCAAGAAGGAAAGCGUCACCAAAAACCAAACCCUGCUGGAAACUUGAUCUUCCCUUUCAGCCUCUGGAAUAAAGAAACUUAAUUUCUGUUGUUGAA